GCUAUUCUCAAAGCUGGCAAGGUGUGAGACACAAAAAAAAUAAAAUACAUUAUUGACAUGGCUGUAAAACAGAGUUUUAGCAGCUAGAUGAGAAAUUAAAAUUCAGUCAGACUAUUCUUGCGUGGGUAGGCAACCUUCGGCUCUUCAGAUAUUGUAAACUGCAUCUCCCAUAAUGCUCUAACAACCAUUAUGCUGGCAACGCAUCAAAAAAGUUGUAGUCCACAACAUCUGGA